rnacentral:lncRNA from 1 species
UGUGUCGACAAUCGUCGCAGCAUCAGUCUUAUGACCUUUGAUAGCAGCCAACUUUGGUACAGCUUUUUCAACAAUGGGAGCAGACUCUGGUGCAGUUGGUGUAACUUCUUCAGUCGGCACUAUCUCCUUGGUAGUUUUCACUUUCGAACCAAGGGCGGCGAUACUGCUCAGAUCCAAAUUUAGGUAUAACUUUUCGACCGUAUCCCUGUCGUCUUCAUGGCCGACACAAUAGGAAGCAUAGCCACCCUUGAGGAUUUCAUUUUUGAAAUCUUAUGAUUCUUUGUAAUCCUCGACGACCAGCUCCCGUGCCUGACUCAGAGCAUCUUUGGCCGACUGUGCUUCCUCCAUAGCGGAGGCCGACUCUGCAUCGGCUAAUGUCAAUCUUGAUUCAGUGACUCGAUGCUUUUUUCUUUCUUUCUCUAACUCUUUAAUGCAACUGUCACGAUCUUUUUGGAGUCGACUGAUUUCUUGCUUCUUCUUCUUUAUUCGAGACUCCUAAGAUUUGACAGUCUGCUGUGUGGAUUUUAGCUCGAUACAAGCCGACUGCAAUUCACCUCUCAUCGAUUUCAACUCGGCUCUUGCGGACUCCAGUUCAGUCUUCAUGCGAGAGUUCUUCUCUUGAUAAUUUGCCUUCGCUCGACUGCCAACCGAAGUUGUUCAAUGGCCGCAGCUUUCUCGGCAUUUGCAGCCGUGAUUUUUUCCAUCUACAUUCGGUGAAAGUCGGUGAUUUUUCGAUACCCACUCUCUAAUGUCUGUAUAUCAUGUGCUAGCUCAAAAGAAAAGAAAACAAGUUUGGUCAAAAAAAAAAGAGAGAAGAGAGGAGAAGAGAAAGAAGAAGAGAAUCAUCAACUUAUGCUGAGCAUUAUCAGGAAGAAGAAUGAAAAUAUUUCAGACACAGUCCCAUCUUUCCUGUUCUUCCUAUCAGUCGGGAAAAGUGCAGCUCCGAUGAGUCACUUGGUCAAUUUUGAAUUGGCCAAAG